rnacentral:rRNA from 1 species
GAUGAACGCUAGCGGCAGGCCUAAUACAUGCAAGUCGAACGGGAUCUGAGGGUAGCUUGCUACCCGAUUUGAGAGUGGCGCACGGGUGCGUAACGCGUGAGCAACCUACCCAUAUCAGGGGGAUAGCCCGAAGAAAUUCGGAUUAACACCGCAUAAUAAUACGCUAACACAUGUUGAUGUAUUUAAAUAUUUAAAGGAUAUGGAUGGGCUCGCGUGACAUUAGCUAGUUGGUAAGGUAACGGCUUACCAAGGCGACGAUGUCUAGGGGCUCUGAGAGGAGAAUCCCCCACACUGGUACUGAGACACGGACCAGACUCCUACGGGAGGCAGCAGUAAGGAAUAUUGGUCAAUGGGCGCAAGCCUGAACCAGCCAUGCCGCGUGCAGGAUGACUGCCCUACGGGUUGUAAACUGCUUUUGUUAGGGAAUAAACCUUCUUACGUGUAAGGAGCUGAAUGUACCUAAAGAAUAAGGAUCGGCUAACUCCGUGCCAGCAGCCGCGGUAA